rfam:Rice yellow mottle virus partial VPg gene for genome-linked viral protein, isolate Tz204, genomic RNA
GACCACGUUCCUUUAAACUGCCAGGGGGCGGGCUCGAGCCUUCGGGCGAGUCCGCCCUUGGACGGCUUAUCCAACUCGGAGA